GCGCUCCUACCCCCGCGCCUGGGUGACGCUGGAGGCCUCGGACCUGGGGGCGCGCCGCUGCUUGUGCCCGUCCGGGGCUGCGGGGUCGCUGGCCGCCGCCAUCGGGCGCGCAGAGCCCAAGCGUUCCUGCCCUCCGAGGGCACGGGCACCGAAGGCACGGGCACCGAGGGCAACGAGCGAGGCAGGGGCAAGGGACCACUGCUCAGGCGUUGCCGCCGCUUCCAACAAAGACAAAAGGACCCCCAGUCUCGCCGUUGUGCCCCCAAGUCGCAAAGUUGCACUUCUAGAGCCCAGAUCAGCCUCCGACAAAAUCCAUCUUCCAGAACAAAGUACCGCUUUCAGGCGCCCUUUGCAGGGCUGAAGGCCAGAGGGCGGAAACGGACACACCCACUCGCCUCUGGCUGCAGCCGGACCCGGGUUCCAAAGUCAGAGAUCCCGGUCCUGCGGUUCCCUACUGCACUGGGGGAGCCCCGGCCGAUUUGGGGAUUUUCUUGGAGCCGGCGCCUCAGGACCCUGGGUUCCACGCCCCUCGGAUGCUUUCUUAUCAGAUGCCACCUUGGCGGGUCGGGGUCCCCCUGGCGGCUGCGCGAGUGCUGCUGAGAACAGAACCGAACCAGACCCAUGGCGAGAACUGCCCACAGUGCCCAGCCCUGGGGAGAGCAGUUUAGGGAACGAGGGUCCAGGGCUUGAAGGGGUCAGAGCUAGGACUGAGGCGGAUUAAGUCACUCAGGGCUCCAAUAAACAAUGCUGAAGUUAAACUCCAAAUGUCACAGUCAAUGUCGGACUGACUUUGCCCCUCCUCCUUGUCUCAUUGAGUGGAAACUGUGCCCUAUUCCUCAAAUAAUACAAUAGUUACCCCCAAUUCAGCAGAGAUAGAGUGAUGACUGUAUACAUGAAGGUCAAUUCAAUAAGUUUCUCGUAUAAUUCUGAAUUACUGAAUAUUCCAACCAACACACUGGCGUAUGCAAAGCACACCAGCCCCCUGCGGUAGUGAUAUGGUAAAUCUGUGUGUUCCUGGAUGUUUUUAAGUGAUAAACUGGAAGGAAAUAUGUUAUUCUGUUGCUGUCUAUUUGUGUAUUUCAGUAUGUGUCUGCUGAUAUCACUUUUGAGAAAAGUCUAUUUCCGGGGUAGAAAAUGUAUGGAGAGGGGGCGGUCUUCCAUACAAAAAUUUCCACAUUAAAAGAAAAUCUUGGAAAUUAGACACGGCAAUGAAGAAAGACUGUAGAAAUGGACUUAUUGGGGGGGCUGGGGUUGUGGCUCAGCGGUAGAACGCUCGCCUCGCACAUGCAGGACCCUGGGUUCGAUCCUCAGCACCACAUAAAAAAGUGAAAUAAAGGUAUUGUGUCCGACUACAACUAAAAUAAAUAAAUAAAUAUUUAAAAAAGAAAUGGGCUUAUUGGGGUAAAAUUUUGCUUUGACUAAAAUAAUUUGCAGAUUACUUUUGAGUAGAAAUCUCACAGCUGAAAUAUUUUUUAAAAAGAAAGGGCAACUUAAUGAGACCCUGACUCAAAAUAUAAAAUAAAAAGAAUUGGGGAUAUGGCUGAGGGAUUGAGUUCCCAGGGUUCAAUCCCUUAUAUCAAAAGAAGGAGGGGACCAAAGAAUUGGGGUGGGGUGGAGAAAUGAGUCACCUCUCUAACCCAUCUGUAGUUUUAGUCUUAGUCCAUGUGCAUCCAGUACUAUUUUGCCCAGAGCCACCUGCUCAACGCUCUUAGGUUUUCUUAUACAUUUGUCAAGAAACCCCUCUAAAGGCACAUGAGUCCACUGGGCUUUCCUACUAGCUGCUGCCACUGCAUUUUAUAAAGUAGUACCCGAAGCCACAUUUCUCCACAAAGAUCCUAAGAAUGGACACUUCCUGGUAACUCUCACUAGUUUAAUGAAUAAUAGGCUCAUAGUGUGCAGAAAAGUCCUUUUGACACCCUCUUUGAAACACGCAGUGAAACACUUACCAUGGCCAUGGAGCCAUUUUAGGCAUUGAGUGGCUUAGCAUUCCUCAAAAAGAGACUGAGGAGGACCAUGAAAAAAGAAAUAAGCAUAUUCUUAUGCCCAGUGGUAGUGAUUUCUCGUUUCUAAACUUAGAUUUCAGUGAUUCAACCAAAAAUAGAAAAAGAAGAAAGAUGGACUAAGUAAGAGAACCAAAAGGAAAUUACUUAAAUUUCUUUAAAAAUGAUGACCAUUAGUCUCAGUGAAGAUUGAGAUAAAAUGUCAUAUAAAUUGAGGAUUAUCUACACUUACAGUAGUCCAAGCAACUCCCAAGAUAUACUUUUAUAGAGUUGAGUGCUCAAUGUAAGCUCAGGUAAAUUAUUUUAUCUUUGCUAAUGGCCAAUAUUUUUCCAUCUGAAAAGAGCCCAGUGAGUGUAAUAUGCCAGUAAUGGAUUUUAAAUUUUAGUUCUACACCCACCUUUGAAAUAAUAGAUGAGAAUCAACUAUUUCCUUUCUCUUACCAUCAAAGCAGCACUGUACUUCACACAUAAUGUGUUUUUGUUGUUGAUGUUGUUUUCUGUAUCUACCUGAGAUGUAUAAGCUUCCACUAGAACAAAUCUAUCUUAGAAAACUGUAUGGUGGAAAGAUGGUGAUCCUCCCUAUCAUUCAAGUUUAACCACCUAAAAUAAAGACUUUGAACCUAAUAUUUCCUAUUUCUUAAGUAGAAGCAAAUUACCUAUUUUUAAAUAUUAUUGAGAAAUUUAUUAAAAUAAUUUAUAAUAUUAAGAUUCUUCUCAUCUAUUACAUAGAUCCUCAACACAUUUAAUUACACACACACACACACACACACACACACACUCCCCAAAUUUGUUUUAAUGGUAUGGUCAAGAAAGAAAGAUUCAUUAUCUUGAGGAAAAAAUGUCAAACUAUGAAGAUCAACAUUCGAAAAUUUGGUACAUUAUAAAUGUUUUCUAAUGGAUGGAAAUAGAAUUUUAAUGAAAUGUGGAAACAUACAUUGGAAUGAAAAUGAGUAUUCUUAAGUAGAUCAGAUAACAAGGCUAAAAGAAAGCCUGUUAGAAAUUGUGUGUGAAAUUAUACCCACUUUUUGCAACAAAUAUAUUCCAUAGUAUCCCCAAAUUUGAGAAGGGGUCCUCAACCAGAAAAUAAAAAUGUCUUCAAUAGGGGAAAUAAUUGGAAUUGUUUGCUUGACUUUUAUCUGAAUUACUUUGCUCCUGCUGUGAAAUAGACUGAUAGUUUUAAAGCCCCUGAGGUUCCUCUGCUGGCAGCCGUGGUUGCUGUUUUAAAGUAGGGGACAAAGAAGAAUAAAGGCAAAACAGAAAAUUAUUUUUCUGAUUUUAUUCUUGAAAUAAGAAAAUAUGUAGAAGGAAUACAAUAAAGAUAAAAGGGUAUUGGAAAUGCAUUUUAAAAUAAGUUAAGAUAAUUUUAUUUCACUGUGAUUUGGAAUAGCAGUUUGUCAUAUUUUUUUCUUUUUGAUUAUGUAUAAUUGGCUAAUAAUGUAGUAGAUGUAGCAGGAGAAAGCUGUUGCUAAUUCUUUUUCUGUUCAUCAAAUGUGCAACUGAGACUGCUAAUCCCUCUCAAAUAGAUGCCUUAUAAUGUUAAGACUGAUGCGGCUACUUAAAUAUUUUAUAAAUUCUGUAUUAACUUCCUGAUGAGAUAAUAAACCUGAUAAGAUUC